rnacentral:rRNA from 1 species
ACAGAGGUCUCGAGCGUUGUUCGGAUUUACUGGGCGUAAAGGGAGCGUAGGCGGUUCGGUAUGUCGAAUGUGAAAUCCCACAACUCAACUGUGGAAUGGCAUUCGAAACUGCCGGGCUAGAGUACUGGAGAGGAGAGCGGAAUUCUUGGUGUAGCGGUGAAAUGCGUAGAUAUCAAGAGGAACACCGGUGGCGAAGGCGGCUCUCUGGACAGAUACUGACGCUGAGGCUCUAAAGUUAGGGGAGCAAACAGG